rnacentral:rRNA from 1 species
AUACGGAGGGUGCAAGCGUUAAUCGGAAUCACUGGGCGUAAAGCGCUCGUAGGUGGCUUUGUAAGUCAGGUGUGAAAGCCCACGGCUCAACCGUGGAAUUGCACUUGAUACUGCAUUGCUUGAGUUCGGGAGAGGGUAGUGGAAUUCCAGGUGUAGGAGUGAAAUCCGUAGAGAUCUGGAGGAACACCAGUGGCGAAGGCGACUUACUGGACUGUAACUGACGCUGAAGCACGAAAGCGUGGGGAGC